rnacentral:rRNA from 1 species
UACAGAGGUCCCAAGCGUUGUUCGGAUUCACUGGGCGUAAAGGGUGCGUAGGUGGUGAGGUAAGUCGGAUGUGAAAUCUCCGAGCUCAACUCGGAAAUGGCAUUGGAAACUACCUUGCUCGAGGGUUGGAGGGGGGACUGGAAUGCUUGGUGUAGCAGUGAAAUGCGUAGAUAUCAAGCGGAACACCAGUGGCGAAGGCGAGUCCCUGGACAACUCCUGACACUGAGGUACGAAAGCGUGGGGAGCGAACAGG